rnacentral:rRNA from 1 species
GCAAGUCGAACGCGAAAGUUUUCUUCGGAAAGCGAGUAGAGUGGCGCACGGGUGAGUAACGCGUAAAUAAUCUACCCCUGCAUCUGGGAUAACCCACCGAAAGGUGAGCUAAUACCGGAUACGUUCUUUAGAUUGCGAGAUUUAGAGAAGAAAGGUGGCCUCUAUUUAUAAGCUACUGUGCUGGGAGGAGCUUGCGUACCAUUAGCUAGUUGGUAGGGUAAUGGCCUACCAAGGCGACGAUGGUUAGCGGGUCUGAGAGGAUGAUC